UCAUCGGAGUGCAAAUGGAUGUCGGUCUCAUCUCAAAGAUAAGGAAUGAUUGAGAUUUGAUGACAUUACAUUUCUAAGCUGAUUGCUGAAAAAUGACUCAUGGCUUGACAAAGAGCCCUUAAGUGACCAUCUUUGGUCCAAAUAAAGUGCUCCAGGGCAAUUUGGCAACACAUGAUCUCUUGUAUUUUGACGGUUUGUUUCUAUAUUUAAGGCGUUCUCACUGCUUUCUUCCAUAUUCAACAAGAAAAAACAUGAGGGUACUGAUCCACUGUGCCAUUGCUUUGGUGUUUUUGGUAACAUGGAGUCCAACGGGAGAAUGCUGUACUCGCUCGGGUUGGAUGUGUAAUACCAAAUACAUCGUUGAUGCAUUCCAAAUUCAAAAAGGCUCGUCGCCUUCUCAUUGUUUCCGUGCUUGCAAUCAGAGCAAGCAAAGGUCAAAAAUCAGUUAUAUGUUAAUGAUAAACCUGGGCAGAAUGGGCCAUUUCUGUUAUUGCCUUACCCGUUGCAAUAUGGUAAUGAUAAAACCAAUUAUGGAGAUCGAGAAGUCAAUUGUUGGUUUAUUGCCAGGCAAGGUGGAUAUCGAUAAAGUCUGUAACGCUGUAAGUUCGUAAUACAUUCAAGGAGGAUCGGAAAUUAAGCCUUGGCACGGUCAGCAGAUUGUAUAUAAUGAAUGUUAUUGUUACCGUACAAUCAACAAUGUAGAUCGCGGUCGCCAUGCAUGGCUUAAAUAAAGUUUCAUUAUUGCUUUCA